AUACGGAGGGUGCAAGCGUUAUCCGGAUUUAUUGGGUUUAAAGGGUCCGUAGGCGGAUCUGUAAGUCAGUGGUGAAAUCUCAUAGCUUAACUAUGAAACUGCCAUUGAUACUGCAGGUCUUGAGUAAGGUAGAAGUAGCUGGAAUAAGUAGUGUAGCGGUGAAAUGCAUAGAUAUUACUUAGAACACCAAUUGCGAAGGCAGGUUACUAUGUCUUAACUGACGCUCAUGGACGAAAGCGUGGGGAGCGAACAGGAUUAGAAACCCCAGUAGUCC
rnacentral:rRNA from 1 species